rnacentral:rRNA from 1 species
CAGCAGCCGCGGUAAUCCGAAGGGUGCAAGCGUUAAUCGGAAUUACUGGGCGUAAAGCGCGCGUAGGCGGUUACUCAAGUCAGAGGUGAAAGCCCGGGGCUCAACCCCGGAACUGCCUUUGAAACUAGGUGACUAGAAUCUUGGAGAGGUCAGUGGAAUUCCGAGUGUAGAGGUGAAAUUCGUAGAUAUUCGGAAGAACACCAGUGGCGAAGGCGACUGACUGGACAAGUAUUGACGCUGAGGUGCGAAAGCGUGGGGAGCAAACAGGAUUAGAUACCCCCGUAGUCCCUGUCUCUUAUAC